rnacentral:rRNA from 1 species
CCUACGGGAGGCAGCAGUAAGGAAUAUUGGUCAAUGGACGCAAGUCUGAACCAGCCAUGCCGCGUGAAGGAUUAAGGUCCUCUGGAUUGUAAACUUCUUUUAUCUGGGACGAAAAAAGGCGAUUCUUCGUCACUUGACGGUACCAGAUGAAUAAGCACCGGCUAACUCCGUGCCAGCAGCCGCGGUAAUACGGAGGGGGCAAGCGUUAUCCGGAUUCACUGGGUUUAAAGGGUGCGUAGGCGGGCAGGUAAGUCAGUGGUGAAAUCCUGGAGCUUAACUCCAGAACUGCCAUUGAUACUAUCUGUCUUGAAUAUUGUGGAGGUAAGCGGAAUAUGUCAUGUAUCGGUGAAAUGCUUAGAUAUGACAUAGAACACCUAUUGCGAAGGCAGCUUAAUACGCAUAUAUUGACGCUGAGGCACGAAAGCGUGGGGAUCAAACAGGAUUAGAUACCCCAGUAGUC